rnacentral:tRNA from 1 species
GGGGUCAUGGCUCAGUGGUAGAGCACUUGCCUAGCAUGCAUAAGGCACUGGGUUCAAUCCCCAGCCCCA